rnacentral:ncRNA from 1 species
UUAAUUAAAGGUGAUGAGGUUCACCUAUUUAACUGCCAACUUUUUAAAAGUGGCUGAUGACCUAUAUAAAUAC